rnacentral:rRNA from 1 species
UACGGAGGGUGCAAGCGUUAUCCGGAUUUACUGGGUUUAAAGGGUGCGUAGGUUGCUUGGUAAGUUAGUGGUGAAAUACUACAGCGCAACUGUGGAACUGCCAUUAAUACUAUCAAUCUUGAAUGCAGUGGAGGCGGGCGGAAUUUGUCAUGUAGCGGUGAAAUGCUUAGAUAUGGCACAGAACACCAAUUGCGAAGGCAGCUUGCUACACUGUGAUUGACACUGAGGCACGAAAGCGUGGGGAUCAAACAGG